UCGAGGAUCUUUAGCAAUGCCCGAAAGGGUGACUAUGCGACGCCGCGUGGAGGAUGAAGGCCUUCGGGUUGUAAACUCCUGUCAAGAGGGAAGAAACUUUACGUGUUAACAGCGCGUAAACUGACAUUACCUCUAAAGGAAGCCACGGCUAACUCUGUGCCAGCAGCCGCGGUAAGACAGAGGUGGCAAGCGUUGUUCGGAUUCAUUGGGUGUAAAGGGCAGGUAGGUGGCUAUGUAAGUCCGGUGUGAAAUCCCAGAGCUCAACUCUGGAACUGCAUUGGAAACUACAUGGCUUGAGUACCGGAGAGGUAAGGGGAAUUCUCGGUGUAAGGGUGAAAUCUGUAGAUAUCGAGAGGAACACCAGUGGCGAAGGCGCCUCACUGGCCGGUAACUGACACUGAGCUGCGAAAGCAAGGGGAGCAAACAGGAUUAGAUACCCCGGUAGUCCCUGAGCGGGCUGGCAAGGCGCAU
rnacentral:rRNA from 1 species